rnacentral:rRNA from 1 species
CCUACGGGUGGCAGCAGUGGGGAAUAUUGGACAAUGGGCGCAAGCCUGACCCAGCAACGCCGCGUGAAGGAAGAAGGCUUUCGGGUUGUAAACCUCUUUUAAUAGGGAAGAGAAGAUGACGUUACCUCUUGAAUAAGCUCCGCCUAACUACGUGCAAGCAGCCGCGGUAAUACGUAGGGAGCGGGCGUUGUCCGGAUUUACUGGGUGUAAAGGGAGUGCAGCGGGGAGUACAAGUCAGAUGUGAAAUCCAGCGGCUCAACCGCGGAACUGCAUUUGAAACUGUAUAUCUUGAGAACUGGAGAGGCAGACGGAAGUCCUAGUGUAGCGGUGAAAUGCGUAGAUAUUAGGAGGAACACCAGUGGCGAAGGCGGUCUGCUGGACAGCAACUGACGGUGAGGCGCGAAAGCGUGGGGAGCAAACAGGAUUAGAUACCCUUGUAGUC